GGGUAUGUAGCUCAACUGGCAGAGCACCGGUCUCCAAAACCGAAGGUUCGUGGUUCGAUUCCACGCAUGCCCG
rnacentral:tRNA from 1 species